GGGCCUCUAGCUCAGUUGGUAGAGCAGCGGACUUUUAAUCCGCGGGUCGUGGGUUCGAUCCCCACUGGGCCCACCA
rnacentral:tRNA from 1 species